rnacentral:rRNA from 1 species
CGUAUAUUAAAGUUGUUGCGGUUAAAAAGCUCGUAGUUGGAUUUCUGUCGAAAGUGCUUGGUCCCCACUCUGUGGGCGCAUCUAAGUCGCUUUUGGCAUCCUCCUAUUUUUCGUUUGCUGCACUUAAUUGGGUGGCUUUCGGAGUAGGACUUUUACUUUGAGGAAAUUCGAGUGUUUACGGCAGGCAAUCGCCUUGUAGAUAUUAGCAUGGAAUAAUAAUAUAGGACCUUGGUUCUAUUUUGUUGGUUUCUAGGACUGAGGUAAUGAUUAAUAGGGAUAUUUGGGGGCAUUCGUAUUAACCGGUCAGAGGUGGAAUUCUUGGAUUCGGUUACGACGAACUACUGCGAAAGCAUUUGCCAAGAAUGUUUUCAUUGAUCAAGAACGAAAGUGUGGGGAUCGAAGAUGAUUAGAUACCGUCGUAGUCUACACCAUAAACUAUGCCGACUAGAGAUUGGAGGUUGUCUUCUCAUAACUCCUUCAGCACCUUACGAGAAAUCAAAGUUUUUGGGUUCCGGGGGGAGUAUGGUCGCAAGGCUGAAACUUAAA